rnacentral:rRNA from 1 species
UAACACGUAAAGAACCUGCCUCAUAGACUGGGACAACUAUUGGAAACGAUAGCUAAUACCGGAUAACAGCAUUAACUGCAUGGUUGAUGUUUAAAAGUUGGUUUUGCUAACACUAUGAGAUGGCUUUACGGUGCAUUAGCUAGUUGGUGGGGUAAGGGCCUACCAAGGCGACGAUGCAUAGCCGACCUGAGAGGGUGAUCGGCCACACUGGGACUGAGACACGGCCCAG